AUCAGUUAUCGGUCAGUUAUCAGUUAUCAGUUAUCGGUUCUUAUCAGCUUAAUAUCUGAUACGGGUCCUAUUUGGACCCAAGAUAUUAAACUUAUUUUUGGAAUGGGGCGGAGUGCUUGCUCGCUUCACCUUCGCCACAGGUUGGCCCGGUAUUGCACUUGCCUCUGGGAUCGGCACACUCACC